UACGUAGGGUGCGAGCGUUGUCCGGAAUUAUUGGGCGUAAAGAGCUCGUAGGCGGUUUGUUGCGUCUAUCGUGAAAACCUGCAGCUUAACUGUGGGCUUGCGGUGGAUACGGGCAGACUUGAGUUCGGUAGGGGAGACUGAAUUCCUGGUGUAGCAGUGAAAUGCGUAGAUAUCAGGAGGAAUACCGAUGGCGAAGGCAGGUCUCUGGGCUGAAACUGACGCUCAUGCACGAAAGCGUGGGGAGCAAACAGG
rnacentral:rRNA from 1 species